rnacentral:lncRNA from 1 species
AAGGUGUUAAUUAUUUGUUUGUAUCAGGAAAGCCUGCCAUUAUAUAACAUCCCAGAGUACAUUCCUCAAGCUACCCUUGUAAAGCUUAUGAGGUUUUCCGAGGCUAUCUCUUGAGGAUAUAACACAUGCAGAUAGUGUUUGUUGGACUACAAGGAAUAAAGACAAACCAACUCCUUCGACUUUAACUUGAUUCAAAUAGCUGCAAAAUUGUUGAUGCGGUGUUAAGUAAUACUCACUCACUGGACUUUAAAUUUAUUCAAGCUGAACCAGUUUCAUGCAAAAGGCAAUUAUGGGUUAGAGGUAGUAUUCUAAGAAUUAUCAUCAUUGUAUGUAGUGUGAAAUAGCAACUGAAAAUAACGUCACAAUGAAAAUUUCACACUUAGGAAAUGGAAUCCAACUUAACAUACAUGUUCUCUAACGUAGGGUGUCCUUUCAGAUGUACUUUACCUAUGUUCUUUUAAUGUCUGUUGCAGGCACACACAGUCAAUUCCAUAUGAGGCCACUGAACCAAGGACCUACUCAUCUCUCAAUCAGCAAAUAUCUGAGAACAACGAAUAUGAAAGAAUUCAACUGGAAACAUGUGGCAGAGCAUUUACCACUGAAAGUGAACAUCCAUAUCGGAACAUGACAGUACCAUACCAAAAGUGACCUAGGACAUGAUUGACAGUGUCAAAUUUGUUUGAACUUGGAACCCAAGAUAUACUGCACAAAGAUCAAUUUCACACUUUUGAAAUUUAGCCCUAACGACCUAACGUCUCUCUGGUUUUAAAUAUACAGAGAGAUGUCAGCUGCAACAAACAAGUGUUUUACUAUAAAGAGCUUCAUGUUUGCAAAAGCAUACAAAUUACAAUUUCAAAUUCAGUAAAAAUGCUUGACAUCAGUGCAAGAAUCGUGUGAAAUUGUCACACUAAUGAAGAUGUUAUUUAUCAAAAAAAGGUCAUUAUUGUCAUUAUUUUGUGAAACCAUUCAUUGCAUUCGAAGAAAAUAAAGAUGAGGGCUCUGGGUUGCAAACUGUUAAAGUAAAUUUAAAUGGUACUGCAACACUCUUCUUUCAUAGAAUACUCAUUCUUGCGAUUUAGACCUAUUUGUAAAGUUUGUUUUUAACUGUUUCAUACUUUUUUUUCUGUUUGUCCUUGGUAUGUAUGCUGAAAAUAUUUGAUGGUAAUACUGACACCAACUGUUUGUAAGUGGAUGACUUUGUUGAGGUUUUGGAAUAACUGACACCAUAUAUUAGCACUCUGCCUAUUUACAGACAUUUCAUCUCUUAGCUAUUAUUCACCUUACGCAUUUAAUCAUGUCUGUUUAACUGAACGUCAGAGAAUAUCCUACAAAGUAAUAUUUCCUUGAGUAUGUCUUUCGUUUCUUGUCUUAUGGAGUGGAGUCAAUUUCUGCUUAAAACAGAAUUAAAAACAUUUACAGAAUAAAUUGAAAUCCAUAAGCAUUGAAUAAACAGAUGUGUUGAAAUCCAAUAGAUAAAUUCAUCUUCACUACAGUUUUGAAAUUAUUUUAUUUUUUUUAUUAUAUAUUCUACAUACUCUUAUAUGCAUGCUAUGUUUGUGAUUCUUAAAGUGGCACCAAUAAACAGAAUGUGGAAUAGUU